UGGGGAAUAUUGCGCAAUGGGCGAAAGCCUGACGCAGCAACACCGCGUGAGGGAUGACGGCCUUCGGGUUGUAAACCUCUUUCAGCUCCGACGAAGCGAAAGUGACGGUAGGAGCAGAAGAAGCACCGGCUAACUACGUGCCAGCAGCCGCGGUAAUACGUAGGGUGCAAGCGUUGUCCGGAAUUAUUGGGCGUAAAGAGCUCGUAGGCGGUCCGUUGCGUCUGCCGUGAAAACCCGGAGCUCAACUCCGGGCCUGCGGUGGAUACGGGCGGACUAGAGUCCGGUAGGGGAGACUGGAAUUCCUGGUGUAGCGGUGGAAUGCGCAGAUAUCAGGAGGAACACCGGUGGCGAAAGGCGGGUCUCUGGGCCGGAACUGACGCUGAGGAGCGAAAGCGUGGGGAGCGAACAGGAUUUAGAUACCCUGGGUAGUCCACGCCGUAAAACGGUGGGCGCUAGGUGUGGGGAUCGUUUUCCACGAUCUCCGUGCCGUAGCUAACGCAUUAAGCGCCCCGCCUGGGGAGUACGGCCGC
rnacentral:rRNA from 1 species